UCCGGAAUACCUCAAUGGCAGAGAACUCGGCUUCUAACUGAGUAGGUGCUGGUUCGAUUCCAGCUUCCGGAC
rnacentral:tRNA from 1 species